UAGGGAAUCUUCCGCAAUGGGCGAAAGCCUGACGGAGCAACGCCGCGUGAGUGAUGAAGGUCUUCGGAUCGCAAAACUCUGUUAUUAGGGAAGAACAAAUGUGUAAGUAACUAUGCACGUCUUGACGGUACCUAAUCAGAAAGCCACGGCUAACUACGUGCCAGCAGCCGCGGUAAUACGUAGGUGGCAAGCGUUAUCCGGAAUUAUUGGGCGUAAAGCGCGCGUAGGCGGUUUUUUAAGUCUGAUGUGAAAGCCCACGGCUCAACCGUGGAGGGUCAUUGGAAACUGGAAAACUUGAGUGCAGAAGAGGAAAGUGGAAUUCCAUGUGUAGCGGUGAAAUGCGCAGAGAUAUGGAGGAACACCAGUGGCGAAGGCGACUUUCUGGUCUGUAACUGACGCUGAUGUGCGAAAGCGUGGGGAUCAAACAGG
rnacentral:rRNA from 1 species